rnacentral:rRNA from 1 species
GUUAGGAAUAUUGGACAAUGGGCGCAAGCCUGAUCCAGCCAUGCCGCGUGAGUGAUGAAGGCCUUCGGGUUGUAAAGCUCUUUAGUCCACGAAUAUAAUGACUGUAGUGGAAGAAUAAGCCCCGGCUAACUUCGUGCCAGCAGCCGCGGUAAUACGAAGGGGGCGAGCGUUAUUCGGAAUCACUGGGCGUAAAGCGUGCGUAGGCUGUUUUGUAAGUCAGAAGUGAAAGCCCAGGGCUUAACCCUGGAAUUGCUUUUGAAACUACAAGACUCGAAUUCGGGAGAGGAUAGCGGAAUUGUCAGUGUAGCAGUGAAAUGCGUAGAUAUUGACAGGAACACAAGUGGCGCAAGCGGCUAUCUGGACCGAUAUUGACGCUGAGGCACGAAAGCGUGGGGAGCAAACAGGAUUAGAAACCCUGGUAGUCC